rnacentral:misc_RNA from 1 species
AAGAAUUUUAAAGAGUGCACUUCAUUGUGGCUCGACAUUUUCUACCAUUCACCCCUAGUGCACCGUAAUACCUUUUUUUUAUUAGACUCUACAAAGUUUAAUGAAUGUAACACUUUUUUUAUAAAGAAAUA